rnacentral:rRNA from 1 species
AUGGACUGCCCACUUUGCAAAAACCCGCCUGCCGUAUGUGGAGAUCUCGACGGACCGCCCUGCCACAUUUCAGUUCCAAUGACAACCUUCUAUUGGGUUGAAGCUUUUGUCCCAUGCUGCAACAGGCGUGUGAUCGGGUCAUGCAUUGAGCAUAUGCGGUCCAUUGCUGCCAAAGAGAAUAAGCCCAUGUGCAGUACGAUCUUUGUAACCAGAGAACUACUGGAGUAUGAAGUGUUGAUUGAUCAUGGAGCUAAGAAGACUAGGAUUCAUGGUGAUGGCUGGCAUAGGUUUCUUGAUGAGUAUGUCGUGCAGCCUGGCGACAUGAUAUAUAUCUGCCUCCCCCGAGGCAAUGGAAGGUUUUUUGUGGAUGUCGUUAGAGAUGGCGUGAGGCAGAAGCCGCUUCCUUAUCUUGCUUCGAAUGGCCUGUCACUCAUGAAGCGUGAGCUCAUCGACAAUUGCGUUUACACCAGGAGUGUACCUCGUUUUGAAUAUUCAGAGAUGACAAAGAUGAUCAUGUGUGCAUUCGGUGGUUUAGAAGACGUGUGUUGCAUUUUUGUGCACAAGAUGAAUGGCGUUGACAUUAAGGACGGCUACAUGGAUCCCAAAGAAAGCCGUUAA